GCUUGUCUCAAAGAUUAAGCCAUGCAUGUCUAAGUACAAGCCUCAGUAAGGUGAAACCGCGAAUGGCUCAUUAAAUCACACCUAAUCUACUGGAAAGUUACUAGUUACUUGGAUAACUGAGGUAAUUCUUGAGCUAAUACAUGCGAAAAAUCUCGACUCACGGAGAGAUGCUUUUAUUAGUUACAGAACCAACCCAGGCUCUGCCUGGUCUUGUGGUGAUUCAUAAUAACCGAACGAAUCGUAUGGCAUCAGCUGGCGAUGAAUCAUUCAAGUUUCUGACCUAUCAGCUUCCGACGGUAGGGUAUUGGCCUACCGUGGCAAUGACGGGUAACGGAGAAUUAGGGUUCGAUUCCGGAGAGGGAGCCUGAGAAACGGCUACCACAUCUAAGGAAGGCAGCAGG
rnacentral:rRNA from 1 species